CUUCGAAUCCAUCCAGUUAUUAAUUUCCCUUAACAGAAAUUGACAUGGGAAAUAAACACGAAGUGUAAGUCGUCUGAAUACUUAGAGUUUUGUGGCUUGCAUCCCGAUCGUUGGCGAACAUCGUAAAAUCCGUUUUGGUACAUAACCUCCACGAUCCAAAGUCACCUUGCAGAUGACAGGCCCGGAUCCAACGCAAGCCACGCCGAAUUUAUGCUCGACUUCACAGCGGAAUGCUUGCUGAUCGAAAACAUUAUUGUUCUAAAGAUUAGAAACAGAAAAGCAGAAACAAAUCGUGCGUAAGCGAUAGGUGCAUGCCAUGCGAGAUCUAAAUGAAAACAGAAUAACAUAACCUCCACAUAACCACCACGUGCACAUAACCACAAUGUUGUGCUAACGAGUGUUAACACAAAUGUUAAGAUCAAUUGGAUUCAUCACAAUGAAUACUUGUUGGUUUUUAUGUGUGAGACCAUUGGGUUCCCGAAGGGCUGUUUUGCAGUAAUACUGGACCCAACCGUGUUUUCCCAGGAAAGUUGAUGGUAAUCCAAGUGGUAAACCCAGUUUAAAUGGAAAACUGUGGAUACCCGGUGAGAGUACUGAUGGGCCUUGACCUGGAAAUUAAAUCAGUUGCGCAUGCGCAUUUUAAAAAUAAUUUUUUGUUCGUUUUUUGUUUAUGUAUGUUUACGUAAUAGCAGGAGGGUCGAAAAUAAAUGGAUUAUCAUAAA